CCUACGGGAGGCAGCAGUAAGGAAUAUUGGUCAAUGGACGCAAGUCUGAACCAGCCAUGCCGCGUGCAGGAAGACGGCCCUACGGGUUGUAAACUGCUUUUGUACCGGAAUAAACCUUUGGUCGUGACCGAAGCUGAAUGUACGGUAAGAAUAAGGAUCGGCUAACUCCGUGCCAGCAGCCGCGGUAAUACGGAGGAUCCAAGCGUUAUCCGGAUUUAUUGGGUUUAAAGGGUGCGUAGGUGGCCUAUUAAGUCAGGGGUGAAAGACGGUAGCUUAACUAUCGCAGUGCCUUUGAUACUGAUGGGCUUGAAUACACUUGAGGUAGGCGGAAUGUGACAAGUAGCGGUGAAAUGCAUAGAUAUGUCACAGAACACCAAUUGCGAAGGCAGCUUACUAAAGUGUUAUUGACACUGAGGCACGAAAGCGUGGGGAUCAAACAGGAUUAGAUACCCCAGUAGUC
rnacentral:rRNA from 1 species